rnacentral:lncRNA from 1 species
AAAUUCUUCAGAUAACUGAAUAUUUUUUUGGGGGGGAAGCUUUUUAAAAUAUUCCAGAGGUAAUUCCAUUUCAGAUUUUGAACAGAAAAGGGAGUCCCCCUUCCCCCACCUUGAUACAUUAUUUCUAUCAAAGGUAGCAUUGCUGCUCAUGUUCUCAUUUCUUUCUUGGUGAGAAAAUUAAUUGAUACGCUAGAGUAAUUUUCAUCCAGAGUGAAUCUGAAUGUUGUUUCUGAAUUAUUUUUGGACCUUGGCUUUCUUAAUCAUAGCUAAUGAUCUACGUGUCUUUAGGAGUAUUUUUUUCAGAAGGGAAAAUUUUUAUAGGUAUAGAUUAUUGGUCAAAAUCAUUGGUCAAUUCUUGGUAAGGAAAAUAAAAACUGCUGCUUGGGCCUCAAACUAUGCUGUCUUAAUGACUAGGAAAACAUAAUUCUCAACUUUUCCAUUUUUUUUUUUCCUGGGAGCUCCAGAUAACAGCACUAUGGGAAGGAGGAAGAAUUUAAUGAAAGCUUGUACCUGCUGGCUGAAACUAAGCAGCCUAUUUAUAAACUGCUCUGAAAUGCCAGGGAGCAGGUAACUCCCAAAUGAAAAAGCAAGCAGGUCUCUCCCACCAUCAGUGGGAUGGCUGAGCUGUCUGUGGUGCCUUUGCAUCUUGCUGCUUCGCUGACCCUGAAGGUCUGCCCCAGCCUCAGGCGACCAAGCCUACAGCGACCUCAAGGAGCAGCUGCCUCAUCAGUGCUUGUAGGAGGCUCAGGACGGAGAGGGGUCUGAUGCCCCCAUUUUGUUCCCUUCUUUUGUCUUCUUUUGACUUCCCUAGGGAAGGGAAAAUGUGCUAUGAAGUUAAAAGAGGAAUGAAGGAAAAAGAGAGAAUGGAGGGUCUUCUAAAAUGUGUUUAUUUCUCAAAAGCCACAUAGUGCUUCACAAAUUCACAUUAAUCUAACACUUUUGCACUGUCCCCUCCCUCACUCCAGCCCCAACCAUGGGGCGAAGCCCAGCAGUGUGGGAAUGUACUCGCAAACCCCACACAGACCCGUGGCCACGUGUGGAUGCACUCAACAGGAGCCAGCUAUAUUUCAGUUCUUGCUACUUGUAUCUGUCUUUAGCAUCCUCCUACAACGAGCAACACAGAUAAAUAAAUCCCCAAACCUCACCUUGGCACUGGUUCCAGCUCCUCCCCUCUCCACCUUUAGCAGCCAUUAUCAUAAAUCACAUUCUUUGAUAUAUCUUUCUCAAUGUCUCCCUCGCUCAGAUUGCCUUUUAGUAAAAGUUCAUAAAACAAAACAGAAUUUACUAAAAAUAGGUUAGUGGAAAGGUGAGCAAUACAACUUCUGAAAAAAAAAUUAAACCAGUGUAUGAUUUGGGGAUUUAGUGAAGUGAACUGAUAAACUGGGACAUUCAAAUCUAUUAUGCCAAUAUUUUCUCUGGCAAGAGAUUGCUUGCUGUCUUUGCAUGUAGUUUCAUUUCAGGACUUAAUUCCCUGUUUAAAAAAAAAAACUGGAAGAAAAUUUUGCAUUAGUUGUAUUUUACUUAGAUCCAGAGACGAAGCUCUGCUAAUGCAUAUUACAAUAUAUAAUUAAGCAUAAAUACAUUAAAAUAUUAAAACACUGUAAGUUAUUAGAAAUAAUGAAAUUUCUUGCAUAAAGUCAUUGCAUGAAUUACUUAGGUGCUUGUCAGAUCCCUAAUCAGAAAGAGCUGCCAGAGAUGGCAGAGACUUCACUUGCCAAGACAACGUAGUCCAUCAGCAAAUCAGUGGACUUGGGAAGGAGGUGGUUUUCCAUUUAAGCUGCAGCAUCACAGAAAGUUACCCUCUAAAGUCAUUCUUAGAUGAAUACUUCUAUGUCAUACACAGCUAAAUUCCAACAGUCAAAACAAUUAUUCUAAGCUAAUUAAAAUACAAAUAAAAUUUUAGGCUAUGGGAUAACAGAUCAUGAGAUAAAAACAAUUCUACGAUUGUUGGAGGGGCCCUGUAUGAUAUAUUCAGAUCUUGCUCAUCUCUUCCAAAUCUUUGUUUUUUUAAAUAGAAAAUGUAAAUUAUAUUUAGCUUAAGUCUAUGUUUGAAUUUAAAUCACUAAAAAAAUCUACUUUCUAUAAAGCAUUUGGAGCAAUCUUGCAUAUAAUACUCAUUUGCUUAGCUAACUCUUUUUUUCUGUAGAUAAGUAAGGUAAAUGUUAGGCCACUAGACAAAAUUAUCAUACAUCUUCAAUCAUCAAUGUCCAGAGUAAUGAGUCAAUAUAUGUAUGUACGUAUGUAUAUGCAUUUAAAAAAAUCACUCUUUUGACACAUUUCACUUUUCUUUGUAAGUAAUAUAGGUGGGCUAGAUCAGGGGUUGUCAAGUCAGAUUAGAAUCAUCUGAGGAGAUGUGGGCAUCUGGCGAUGCCCAUACCAAUUAAAAGAGUUUCUAGGGGUGUGGAUGGAAAGUGGGAACUGGUAGUUUUACAAGGUCCCUGUCACCAGGGUUGAGACACCAUAGCUUAGAGUCCUGUAACUUGUCCUUACCACCAGUUCAUUCUCUUCUCUCCUUCUGUGAGGAGCGCUUCUAUACUAAGACCCUGAAGGUAACUAGAAAGAGACAAACUCCACCAAGUCAUCCAGUGGUGCACCUUUGAGGACUUCCACUACUCGCCUAGGUUCUAUGAGGCCAGUAUGGAGACAGAGAGGUGGGGGCCUGUGGGGAACUGGAGGCUACAGGCCCCACUUCUAGGAGAUCUCCCAGCUCCAGCCCACUGUGCCAUCAGGAAUGUGGGCCCAUGGCUGCCUGGCUUUCAAGAGAAGCUAGAAAUCUGCUUUCUAUGUGAAAACCUCUUGAUUUUUAAAUGCUUGCAAUGAAUUAAAAAUUUAUCAAAACUGUGUUGUCCAAACAAUCAUGUAUGUGACCAAACAUGGCCUACAAAAUGCUAAUUUACUACCUCUGAACUAGCACAAUAUCCUGAAAAAAGGCAUAAAUAAAAAAAUAUUGGCAGAAUGCAGCAUGAGCAGUAUGUGGAAAGUUUUAUUUUUUAAACCAUAUAGAUAAAUCUGUAUUUGCUUACUUAUAAUUUAGUUGUGCUCUCCAGAACCUAAUGGCAUAACAUUAACAGGCCUUUAAAAGCAGUGUGCUAAAUGAAGGACAGUUUAAAUCCACAGAUGUAAAACCAUUGUAGAGCAAACAUGCAAACAAAAACUGAUCAAUCAACCAACCCACCCACCCA